AACGAACGCUGGCGGCAUGCCUAACACAUGCAAGUCGAACGAGACCUUCGGGUCUAGUGGCGCACGGGUGCGUAACGCGUGGGAACCUGCCCUUAGGUACGGAAUAACUCCCCGAAAGGGGUGCUAAUACCGGAUAAUGUCUUCGGACCAAAGAUUUAUCGCCUUUGGAUGGGCCCGCGUUGGAUUAGCUAGUUGGUAGGGUAAAAGCCCACCAAGGCGACGAUCCAUAGCUGGUCUGAGAGGAUGAUCAGCCACACUGGGACUGAGACACGGCCCAGACUCCUACGGGAGGCAGCAGUAGGGAAUAUUGGAAAAUGGGCCAAGUUCUGAUCCAGCAAGGCCGCGUGAGUGAUGAAGGCCUUAGGGUUGUAAUGCUCUUUUACCCGGGAUGAUAAUGACAGUACCGGGAGAAUAAGCGCCGGCUAACUACGUG
rnacentral:rRNA from 1 species